UACGUAGGGGGCUAGCGUUGUCCGGAAUCAUUGGGCGUAAAGAGCGUGUAGGCGGUCCGGUAAGUCCGCUGUGAAAGUCGGGGGCUCAACCCUCGAAUGCCGGUGGAUACUGUCGGGCUAGAGUGCGGAAGAGGCGAGUGGAAUUCCUGGUGUAGCGGUGAAAUGCGCAGAUAUCAGGAGGAACACCUAUUGCGAAGGCAGCUCGCUGGGACGUAACUGACGCUGAGACGCGAAAGCGUGGGGAGUAAACAGG
rnacentral:rRNA from 1 species